UCGCCAGACUCCUACGGGAGGCAGCAGUGGGGAAUCUUCCGCAAUGGGCGAAAGCCUGACGGAGCAACGCCGCGUGAUCGAAUGAAGGCCUUCGGGUUGUAAAGAUCUGUUGACAGGGACGAAUAAGCAAUGCGAAUAGUUUUGUGUAUGACGGUACCUGUUUAGAAAGCUCCGGCUAACUACGUGCCAGCAGCCGCGGUAAUACGUAGGGAGCAAGCGUUGUCCGGAAUUACUGGGCGUAAAGGGCGCGUAGGUGGGCGCUUAAGUCAGGUGUGAAAACUCCGGGCUCAACCUGGAGACUGCACUUGAAACUGGGUGUCUUGAGGGCAGGAGAGGAAAGUGGAAUUCCUAGUGUAGCGGUGAAAUGCGUAGAUAUUAGGAGGAACGCCAGUGGCGAAGGCGGCCUGCUGGACGAUGACUGACGUUGAGGCUCGAAAGCGUGGGGAGCAAACAGGAUUAGAUACCCGGGUAC
rnacentral:rRNA from 1 species